rnacentral:rRNA from 1 species
AACUCCGGGAAACCGGGGCUAAUACCGGAUGCUUGUUUGAACCGCAUGGUUCAAACAUAAAAGGUGGCUUCGGCUACCACUUACAGAUGGACCCGCGGCGCAUUAGCUAGUUGGUGAGGUAACGGCUCACCAAGGCAACGAUGCGUAGCCGACCUGAGAGGGUGAUCGGCCACACUGGGACUGAGACACGGCCCAGACUCCUACGGGAGGCAGCAGUAGGGAAUCUUCCGCAAUGGACGAAAGUCUGACGGAGCAACGCCGCGUGAGUGAUGAAGGUUUUCGGAUCGUAAAGCUCUGUUGUUAGGGAAGAACAAGUACCGUUCGAAUAGGGCGGUACCUUGACGGUACCUAACCAGAAAGCCACGGCUAACUACGUGCCAGCAGCCGCGGUAAUACGUAGGUGGCAAGCGUUGUCCGGAAUUAUUGGGCGUAAAGGGCUCGCAGGCGGUUCCUUAAGUCUGAUGUGAAAGCCCCCGGCUCAACCGGGGAGGGUCAUUGGAAACUGGGGAACUUG